rnacentral:tRNA from 1 species
ACCUGGCUGGCUCAAAUAGUAGAGCAAAUGACUAUUGAUCUUAAGGUUGUGAGUUCAAGCCCCAUGUUGGGUG